AGUAAUACUUGGGCAAUCUGCCCUUGAGAGGGAAACAACCUGCCGAAAGGCGGGCUAAUGUCCCAUAAGACCACAGGAAUGCAUAUUCCAGGGGUCAAAGCUCCGCAAGGGGCGCUUAAGGAGGAGCCCGAGUCCUAUCAUGGUUGUUGGUGAGGUAACGGCUCACCAAGCCUUCGACGGGUAGCCGGCCUGAAAGGGUGACCGGCCACACUGGCACUGAGACACGGGCCAG
rnacentral:rRNA from 1 species